GAUGAAGAACGUAGUGAAAUGCGAUAAGUAGUGUGAAUUGCAGAAUUCAGUGAAUCAUCGAAUCUUUGAACGCACAUUGCGCCCAUUGGUAUUCCAAUGGGCAUGCCUGUUCGAGCGUCAUUUGUACCCUCAAGCUUUGCUUGGUGUUGGGCGUUUGUCUUUCGAGACUCGCCUUAAAAAGAUUGGCAGCCGGCAUACUGGUUUCGGAGCGCAGCACAAAUUGCGGUCUGUUCCUGAAUGUUGACGUCCAUGAAGCCCAUUAUCACUUUUGACCUCGGAUCAGGUAGGGAUACCCGCUGAACUUAAGCAUAUCAAUAAGCGGAGGA
rnacentral:misc_RNA from 1 species